UACGUAGGUGGCGAGCGUUAUCCGGAUUUACUGGGUGUAAAGGGCGUGUAGGCGGGUCUGCAAGUCGGGUGUGAAAUAUCCGGGCUUAACUCGGGCAGGUCAUCCGAAACUGCGGAUCUUGAGUACUGGAGAGGAUAGUGGAAUUCCUAGUGUAGCGGUAAAAUGCGUAGAUAUUAGGAGGAACACCAGUGGCGAAGGCGGCUAUCUGGACAGUAACUGACGCUGAGGCGCGAAAGCGUGGGGAGCAAACAGG
rnacentral:rRNA from 1 species